rnacentral:misc_RNA from 1 species
AACUGAUACUACCUGCGGGAACCUGCGGAGGGAUCAUUACCGAGUCUCGAACUCACCAAACCCCUGUGAACAUACCAGUGUUGCUUCGGCGGUCGACCCCUCCGCCCUUCCCCUCACCGGGUGGGCGGCGUGGUUCCGCCAGAGGACCAUAUCAAAACUCAUGUUUUUUUUCAGAAAGGAUUCCGCUCUGAGUAAACCAAAGAAAACCAUUAAAACUUUUAGCAAUGGAUCUCUAGAUCG